AACAGAGACUGGCAAACAUAGGGACAACACAGGGCCAAGUUCAUUCAUUACAAAACUUAUCUACAAAUGAUCCCGUUUCAUCUGGACCUCUGUAACUACUCGAAGUUGGAUAAUACGAAUGCUUGUUAUGUGAGUGACCCAGCAGCAGUGCUAUGAGAGCUAGCAGCAUGCCGCUUCUUUAAUGACCUAUGAGAGCUGUGGACCCAGGCCAUACACGGGGAACCUGAGAACCUGCUGAGCAACUUCUGUUGAUCUAAGCCAGCAGGUGAGCUGCAUCAAUUCACAGGAGUCCGUCAUAGACCUCCUCAGCCUGAGAAACUUAACCUCUCGAUGAAAACCGCAAUGUCCUGACCUAAAACUAGAGAUAUGAACAACAGCAAAUAAAACACAGGAUGUACUCGCAGGCUUAUAAAAGUACUGAAACUCUGGAUUGUUCACAAGAAUUUGGAGAACAACUGUGAAACGGAAACUGUGAUCAGCAGGUGGCAAAAGCUUCCCAAGACUCCCUGUUAUAGCAUCAACAUGCUGCAGUUUCGGCUUUGAGAAUUAAAAAGUUGUGUUCAUAUAUCUAGCAGAGAUUUUCUGCUAAAUGUCAGUCAUGUAUGUGUAAAAAUCCACAAGCAAAAAGUUUAUCCUUCCAUAAAACUUUCCUCCCUUGACUUCCUCUGAUUCAUCCGAAAAGAAUACAUGGAUGAAACCCCCUCCCAAGACAUUCUCUCUUCCAUGAACAAUAAAUGUGGAAGUGUCAUGUAAUAUUGAUGGGCUCAGCUGAUGAUCUCCUGACGACCCCAGUUUGGUCCCUCUCAUGUUCUAUAAAAUAUUCAUGAUCCUUGUCCCCUUUCCUGCACCCGCCCCCUCAGCAUCCCAUAAUGCAUGUGUGAUGUUCUGCUGGGCCGCUCGCACAGAAACAUACACCUAGCUGCAGGAGCAAAGAAUGAUGGGAUAUAUAAGCAUGAUCUCCUGUGGUGAAACCAGCUCUGAGCUUUUCUAAACUUAAAAAAAAAAACAGGUUUCCCUGAUUUCAGUUGCAAGUCUGGAAAUUUUUCUUCCAUUGUACACCUAACGUUCCCCACCCCUGCACUUUGAGUAAACUCACAACUAUCAUUAAUGUCAUUCAACUCCUCCUACUCUCCCUCUACCUGUUCACCUGCAUCUGUUCUUUUGUCAUUUUUAUCAAUGCGUCCUUCCUUUCCUCCCUCCCGUGCAUUCCUCUUUCCGUCGUUCUCAUUAACACCCCGUCCCUGAUAGAUAGUGGCCUACUGCUCCUUGAGAGGCUCUCCCGAGUGUCCCGUGCAGCCCUGGCACCCUGUGUUCCUCUCCUUAGACCCGGGCCUGUGCCAUCUGCCUCUGUCACUGCCACCGCUGGGCACUGGGAGUCAGUGCGCAUGAGACAGCCCUCUUCUGCUGCACGAAAUCAACACACGCUGUGACUGCUGCAGUUUUUCAGCCGGUAGGUAUACUGGAAGUUUACUUUUAUGUAAGUUUAAA